rnacentral:rRNA from 1 species
UGAGGAAUAUUGGACAAUGGGGGCAACCCUGAUCCAGCAAUGCCGCGUGAGUGAUGAAGGCCUUCGGGUUGUAAAGCUCUUUUGUUAGGGAAGAUAAUGACGGUACCUAACGAAUAAGCACCGGCUAACUUCGUGCCAGCAGCCGCGGUAAUACGAAGGGUGCUAGCGUUGUUCGGAAUGACUGGGCGUAAAGGGAGCGUAGGUGGCUGUGUACGUUUGGUGUGAAAGUCCUGGGCUUAACCUGGGGACUGCAUUGAAUACGGCACAGCUUGAGGCAUAAAGGGGAAGAUGGAAUUGUGUGUGUAGAGGUGAAAUUCGUAGAUAUACACAAGAACACCAGUGGCGAAGGCGAUCUUCUGGUUAUGUACUGACACUAAGGCUCGAAAGCGUGGGGAGCAAA